UCCUAUGUUUAGUGCUGACUCCUAAAGCAUGUGACUCUUAAGAGGAUCAUGCGACUGAGAUGUUUCCUUAUAUAUUAUUGAAAGUUCAAGGCGGAGAUGAGGUUCAGAUCAAGUCGUGGGAGGACUCGUGGAUUCUGAAUUAACCUCUUUGUGAGGUUCAAAAUGGUGAUUAUGGAUGUAUAAGCUACACUUGGGGCAAUAUUCAGUUGAUAUCUUCUCA